GAGUUUGAUCCUGGCUCAGAACGAACGCUGGCGGCAGGCCUAACACAUGCAAGUCGAACGGACAGCAAUGUCAGUGGCGGACGGGUGAGUAACGCGUGGGAAUUUUUCCAGAGGUUCGGAAUAACUAAGGGAAACUUUAGCUAAUACCGGAUGAUGCCGAGAGGCCAAAGAUUUAUCGCCUUUGGGUAAGCCCGCGUUGGAUUAGGUAGUUGGUGGGGUAAAGGCCUACCAAGCCUGCGAUCCAUAGCUGGUCUGAGAGGACGAUCAGCCACACUGGGACUGAGACACGGCCCAGACUCCUACGGGAGGCAGCAGUGGGGAAUCUUGCGCAAUGGACGAAAGUCUGACGCAGCCAUGCCGCGUGAGUGAUGAAGGUCUUAGGAUUGUAAAGCUCUUUCGCUCGCGACGAUGAUGACGGUAGCGAGAGAAGAAGCCCCGGCUAACUUCGUGCCAGCAGCCGCGGUGAUACGAAGGGGGCUAGCGUUGUUCGGAAUUACUGGGCGUAAAGCGUGCGCAGGCGGUUUUUUAAGCCAGAGGUGAAAUCCCGGAGCUCAACUUCGGAAUGGCCCUUGGAACUGGAAAGCUUGAGAACGGUAGAGGUGAGUGGAAUUCCCAGUGUAGAGGUGAAAUUCGUAGAUAUUGGGAAGAACACCGGUGGCGAAGGCGGCUCACUGGACCGUUUCUGACGCUCAGGCACGAAAGCGUGGGGGAGCAAACAGGAUUAGAUACCCUGGUAGUCCACGCCUUAAACGAUGGAUGCUAGCCGUUGUGAGGCAUGCCUCCUCAGUGGCGCAGCUAACGCGUGAAGCAUCCCCGCCUGGGGAGUACGGCCGCAAGGCUAAAACUCAAAGGAAUUGACCGGGGACCCGCACAAGCGGUGGAUGAUGUGGAUUAAUUCGAUGCAACGCGAAGAACCUUACCUACCCUUGACAUGUCAGGAAUCCCGGAGAGAUUUGGGAGUGCCCGAAAGGGAGCCUGAACACAGGUGCUGCAUGGCUGUCGUCAGCUCGUGUCGUGAGAUGUUGGGUUAAGUCCCGCAACGAGCGCAACCCUUGUCGUUAAUUGCCAUCAUUCAGUUGGGCACUUUAAUGAGACUGCCGGUGACAAACCGGAGGAAGGUGGGGAUGACGUCAAGUCCUCAUGGCCCUUAUGGGUAGGGCUUCACACGUCAUACAAUGGUCGGUCCAGAGGGUUGCCAACCCGCGAGGGGGAGCUAAUCUCAGAAAGCCGAUCGUAGUCCGGAUUGUAGUCUGCAACUCGACUACAUGAAGUCGGAAUCGCUAGUAAUCGCGGAUCAGCAUGUCGCGGUGAAUACGUUCCCGGGUCUUGUACACACCGCCCGUCACACCAUGGGAGUGGAAUCUGGCAGAAGUAGGUAGCCUAACCGCAAGGAGGGCGCUUACCACGCUGGGUUUCAUGACUGGGGUGAAGUCGUAACAAGGUAGCCGUA
rnacentral:rRNA from 1 species